AUGUGGUUCCAGCCCUGCCCUUCUUGUUGUGCUGCAGGGCAGAGGAGAAGAGAGGAGGUGUGCGCAUUUGGAGAAGGGGCGGAAGGACUGCAGACAGUAUAGAGCCGAGUCUGCAGAACUUCCUGCUGUUUUUCCAGCCUCAUGACACCUUCUCUCUAUCUCGCAGUUCUAAUAGUGCAAAGGUAAUGAUGAACCAGCAAGAACCACAUGUUGUUUCAUCUCCUCUGACCUAAAAUCACUUUCAGCCUAACCACACCUCCACUGUAGCUUUGAUUCUUAAGUCUAAACAGAGCAAUGCUCCAGCGAGCCUCAGAAAUCCAAUAUUGCACUUUUCUAACUAACUCUUGUUUAAAACAUAUCACCUCACACUGCCUGACGAAGAACAAGACGCCUGUGCUCAUGGGUGGAGCCAAUCAACUGUAGCGGCAAACUUUCUGUCCCUUUAUGGAAGAAAGGUUUUGGAGCUUGUGCUUGUUAUUUCCUGUCAAAAGGCAUGAAAAUAGCUCUCCUUCAAUCGCUUUGUUUUCUUUGUCAGGAGUUCACAUAAUACUGUAUGCAUUUAAGGGUUUGUGUGAACGCUGCUGUUGAUAUUUGGGGAUAAGUAGACUGCAUCCUCAGAUUUAGCCCUGGUAAGCAACUUAAUAUUUUUGGGGGGGGCUUGAGAACAUUUAGUUAUUUGUCGUCUGAACUGCAAAUUCUGCAAAACUGCAGAAAUUGAUUAAUGGCAUGUGUCCCUAGAAAUAGUCUUUGAGAAAUACAGUGUCAAAAUUGGAAACAUGAAGCGUAUUAAACAGCUCGGAGAGGGAAAAAGAAAUUUAGCAUUACUUUGGUUAACAAUUUAUUUUCUGUGGCAGAGCACCAAACCAAAUAUGGUGUGCACAUGCAAAACAAAGGACAAUGAGUCAGUCAGUCUGGUUUCCUAGACUGGGAUCAACAGUGUUUCGUCUUUGAUAAAAGUUUGCGCAAAUAAAACCAAGGAAAGGCAUGUAAAGAAAACAAGUAUUAAGGAAGCGACAGGAAGUGAGAGGCGGAGAUGAUCCCAGCAUGACAUCAUCCGACUGCAUGAAUCAUGUGCUGCUCAUAGGCCUGAGUCAAACCAAGCCGUCUGUAAGUGUCAUAUGUCUGUGAGCCUUGUGAUCAAACAUUCACAGUAGUAUGCAUCUAUUUUGUUGAAUUAUUUUCAAGCAGUGCAUAUUUACUGCGUGCAUCAUCUCUGGUUAGAGUCGACCUUUCAUUGUUUUGAAAAAGUGCUACAUUAUGUGCAAUCAUUUUUUUCAAGUUUGUUUCAACACUACCUUCAUGGAAAUAUUGCUUAACCUCCUUGAGUAAUAUUUAGGUAGAUCUUACAUGCGCUUUCUCCCUGCGGGCCUCGAGAAGUUUGUCGUGGUAGUGUUGAGCUACAGAUGGGUCUACGUCGGUGAGCUUGGCUGAUGGGUUCUGCAACAUGGCCAGGGUCUUCAAAGGAUCCCCUUCAUCCAAGGCCUCAUUGAUCAGUCCGAUGGCUGCAAUUCCUACAAAACACAAGUGUUUUAAGAUACUGAGAGAGAAAAAUGUUUUGUGCAAAUGCUGCACUUUUUUUAUUCCAUAAAAAUGAUACCUCUAGGUUGAUUAUUUCAAGUAUUUGUGCCAAUAUGGGUACGUGUCUUACGUUCAUGCUCCUCCUGUACGGACAUGUUGACCUGAUCAAUACAAGCUUGUAUGUCAUUCCAGGUGAGAUUAUCACAGCCCUCCUCCCUGGCUGCUGCCUUAAGACGAAUCAACUCAUCCAUGUACCUAAGGCACAAUUAGUACAACAGGCACAAUAUUACAUUGUGUAAACCCAUCUGACAAUCUUACUGAUGCCUGUGUGCCUGUACUCACCUCUGUGCAUAUUCAGGCUCCACAUUACUAAGCCCUGUGAUGGAGCUGGACAGUUGUCUCCAGAGCGUGGCCCGGUCUCCAACGUCAAUGGCCUCAUUUAUCAACACCACUGAUGA